CCAAAUAAGUCCUUCUUAAGAGUGAAAGUUGGGAAGAUGGAUCCCCAAGCACCACUGGGCAGUGAUUUCUCCAUUGAUGAGAAGAUCAUUACAUGGCACCUGAGUUUUAACUAGGUAGGACCCAAUUGCAGCUUCUGAGGUCUAUAGGUAGACAUUCACCAGAUUUGUUUCAUAAUCAUGUACAGCUUGCUGAAUGAGUUACUUUUAGUUGCAUUGAUUCUUUGUAUGGUUAGGGAUGGGUUGUUUACAUGUCACUGUAGUGAUCUUGGCUUUCAGGGUUUAAAACCGUGCAGCUCUUCUCUGAAACACCAUUUGAAAUGCCUAGACUAUUUAGUUGAACCAAGAUUUGUUGACCAGUGGUAGGGGUGUUGGUGUAGUUUGGCUAGCAGCAAAGGGUUAGAGCCUUUGUAGUCAUUCUGUGGAAGAACUUUUUAGGUGUCAGGGAAUUAUAAAUUAAUAAAAAAUAUAAUUAAUUUUUGGUGUGUUCUUUGGCUCCCAUACACCUCUGCCUACGCACUGUAUUUCUGCUGUUGCCAUGUUUGAGAUUUCAUUUUUAUUAAGGUGGAUUGUAAAAUAAUAAUCCAAUAAUAAAAUAAAUGUUUUAUAAUGAGAACAUCCACAUGCAACAAGCACAGAAACAUGCAAUGCAAAAUUGUGCUUCGUAGGAAUCUUUAGUUUCAUUUCUGUGAUUCAUUUCUUUAAAGGAACCAAGUUGCCACUUCUCAACUUUAAAAACAUAUUAUAAAAGGGAAAUUCAUAUCAGUAGAUAUUCACAUUUUCUUACCCCGAGCCAUUUACUAGCUGAGUGGCUCAGUUGGUUAGAGCAAGGUGCUGAUAAUGCCAACGUCACAGGUUUGAUCCAUUUAUGGGACAGCUGUAUAUUCCUGCAUUGUGGGGGGGGGGGGGUUUGGAAUACAUGAUCCCCAGAGUCGCCUCCAACUUUAUGAUUCUAUUCUCUUUAUUUGGUUGAAUAUGCAUAAAUAUUGGUGAUUGUCACAACCAUUGUAAAGUUAGUGGCGCUUAUUAAUUAAUAUUUUUAAAAAAACCUCUGGGUGCCUUAUUUCAAUGCAGCAGUCUGUUGAUGAAAAGGCAAAGAACAAACACAAAUAGAAUAGAAUACAUGCAAUAUCUUCUGUUUUAUGGGCAGGUGGUGCCCCUUGCCUUGUGUAAUGACCACUGCCAUCCAGGUUACAGCAGACAAAGGAAAGAGGGAGAACCAUUUUGCUGCUAUGAUUGUACUCCAUCUCCAGAAGGGAAGAUUUCAAGCCAGACAGGUAGGGGACUGUAUGUUAUAGUAUAUCAACUAUAUUGAGAAGAUGUUUUUUUGUUAGCUAUUUGUGAAAAAAUAGACGCCUUACAAAAGACAUGAAGAUAAACCUUUACUUGUCUGGUUGUCAACAGUAGAACAACAAUAUAUAUGUGAAUGUGCUUCUGUCCCUUGAGCCCAAGAGAGGGUUUAGUCCUUUUUGUUUUCAAAGCUCCUUCGUAGCAGAGCAUAAGCUAAUAAUCCAAAUCUUGCCUGUCCUCAAAAACCCCUCCAGACAAUGUCUGCUUGAAGUCACCAAACUCCCACACUCUCAAUGAAAGAUGCAACUAACAGAAGAAUCAACCAGCCUUCAACUACCAACUGCCUCCAUCUUUCCCCAAUACCAUUUAUUCUUUGUGAAAUAUAUUUACUGUUCUUAAACCGAGGUACCACUGUACAAGUGUUUUAUCAUAAACAAUAUUGUAAAUUGAUAACCAGCAUAUCUUCUGCUUACCUCCACACCUGAAAAUCUUAUGGAUUGCAUGGACACCAACUUACUUGAUCACCUAAAUUCUGGAAUUUUCAAUUCAACAGUAUUUUUUUGACAAUAUUCCUAGGUGUGUUAACUGGAUUAUAUCAGCACCUUUAGUCUUCCUUUGACAUUAAGCUUCCCUUCUGGGAUAGGAAAUACUCUGAAUAUUGGUAAAUGAAACUUCCUAUUUUACAACCAUUUAUACUGGUAAACUGUGAAACAUUAAUGUUUAUUAUUUCUCCAUUCAGAUAGCUUUGAAAGUUCUUAUUGAUGGACUAGGGAUUUCUCCCCUCUGAACACACCCAAAUUCCAAUUCUACGCACGUGUAAACACAAACAUACAUUUAUGGAGCUUAUCAUUUAGAUUUAAUUCUCAUUUAAUUAUCCACUGGAAAGAAUCUUACAAAAAUAGCUUACCUUAAAGACAAAACAUGUUAACACUCUAACAAUUUCCUGAAAAAGAUAAUGUUUUGUAUCAUGUAUACUGUGAAUUACAUUGAAUUAUAGUACAGUGACAUUCAAAGUUUCCUGAUCCUAAAGCAUAAAUAUUUGUAUCUCAGUGAGACUGGAGCGGCUAGAACUGUAAUCCUGAUUUCUUUAUGCUUCAAGAUAUGGAUGACUGCUUCCAGUGCCAAGAAGUUCGGUAUCCUAACCAAGAGAGAAACCAGUGCAUCAGCAAGAAAGAAAACUUCCUAUCUUAUGAAGCACCUUUAGGCAUCAGUUUGGCUCUUUUGGCUCUGGCUUUUUCUGCAACUACAGCCUUGGUGUUUGGAAUCUUCAUCAAACAUCAAAACACUCCCAUUGUCAAAGCCAACAACUGGAAUCUCACCUACACCCUGCUCAUCUCCCUCCUGCUCUGCUUCCUCUGCUCCUUGCUAUUCAUUGGGCGCCGCCAGUUGCUAACCUGCAAUCUACGACAAACUGCCUUUGGUAUCAUCUUCUCAGUGGCUGUUUCUUCUGUUUUGGCUAAAACCCUUACUGUGGUUCUGGCUUUCAUGGCCACCAAACCAGGAUCCAAGAUGAGGAAAUGGGUGGGGAAAAGAUUUUCAACCUCUAUUGUUCUUGGUUGUGUUUCUAUCCAGGCAAGUACUUCUAUAGUAUGGCUCUGUACUGACCCUCCUUUUCCAGAUCUGGACAUGCACUCUCUGCCUGAAGAAGUCAUAGUGGAAUGCAAUGAAGGCUCAGCCAACAUGUUCUACUCUGUUCUUGGUUACAUGCGGUUGCUGGCUCUUGUCAGCUUCAUUGUGGCUUUCUUUGCUCGGAAGCUGCCGGACACUUUUAAUGAAGCCAAAUUUAUCACUUUCAGCAUGUUGGUGUUUUGCAGUGUGUGGCUUUCUUUUGUUCCAUCCUACUUAAGCACUUUUGUUCCAUCCUACUUAAGCACUACUUACUCACUUCCAUACAUCACUACUAGGAAAACCAUAGCUUUUACUAUACGGACCUUUGUUCGCAAGGUGAUGUCUCUGCUUUUUAAGAUUCUGUCUUGGUUUGCCAUUGCCUUUCUCCCAAGGAGCAGGCGUCUUUUAAUUUUGUGACUGCUGUCACCAUCUGCAGUGAUCAUAGAUCCCAAGAAAGUAAAAUCUCUCACUGCCUCCAUUUCUUCCCCUUCUAUUUGCCAGGAGGUGAUGGCACCAGUGGCCAUGAUCUUCGUUUUUUUGAUGUUGAGCUUCAGACCAUAUUUUGCGCUCUCCUCUUUCACCCUCAUUAAAAGGUUCUUUAAUUCCUCCGCACUUUCUGACAUCAAGGUUGUGUCAUCUGUAUAUCUGAGGUUGUUGAUAUUUCUUCCGGCGAUCUUAAUUCCAGCUUGGGAUUCAUCCAGCCCAGCCUUUCGCAUGAUGAAUUCUGCAUAUAAGUUAAAUAAGCAGGGAGACAAUAUACAGCCUUGCCGUACUCCUUUCCCAAUUUUGAACCAAUCAGUUGUUCCAUAUCCAGUUCUAACUGUAGCUUCUUGUCCCACAUAGAGAUUUCUCAGGAGACAGAUGAGGUGAUCAGGCACUCCCAUUUCUUUAAGAACUUGCCAUAGUUUGCUGUGGUCGACAUAGUCAAAGGCUUUUGCUUAGUCAAUGAAGCAGAAGUAGAUGUCUUUCUGGAACUCUCUAGCUUUCUCCAUAAUCCAGCGCAUGUUUGCAAUUUGGUCUCUGGUUCCUCUGCCCCUUCGAAAUCCAGCUUGCACUUCUGGGAGUUCUCGGUCCACAUACUGCUUAAACCUGCCUUGUAGAAUUUUAAGCAUAACCUUGCUAGCGUGUGAAUUGAGUGCAAUUGUGCAGUAGUUGGAGCAUUCUUUGGCACUGCCCUUCUUUGGGAUUGGGAUGUAGACUGAUCUUCUCCAAUCCUCUGGCCACUGCUGAGUUUUCCAAACUUGCUGGCAUAUUGAGUGUAGCACCUUAACAGCAUCAUCUAUUAAAAUUUUAAAUAGUUCAGCUGGAAUACCAUCACUUCCACUGGCCUUGUUAUUAGCAGUGCUUUCUAAGGCCCAUUUGACUUCACUCUCCAGGAUGUCUGGCUCAAGGUCAGCAACCACACUACCUGGGGUGUACGAGACAGCCAUAUCUUUCUGGAAUAGUUCCUCCGUGUAUUCUUUUUUUUUUUUUUUUGAAAAUGAUAUUUAUUGAAGUUUCAAAAAAAGGUUACAAAAAUAGGAGAAAGAAAAGAAAAAAAAGAAAAAAUACAAAAUAUAGAAAAGAAAAAGCACUUAAAAACAAAUCAGUCUUUCCAUGUCUUGUCUUUCAUUUACUUGUUUCCCUGACCUCCUCAUACCUCCCUUUUUUGUAUUCCAAUCCAGUUAGCUAAUUCAGCAAAUCCUUUCCCUCUUUGUUUUUAUCCUAAUCCUUUAACUUGAUAUAUUGUAACUUUAGAUUCUCACCUGUUAACAAUCCAUUUUUACAUACUCCUUUGUAAUAUUGCUGCUAAAACCACGUAACUUCAUUCUGACAUCAUUCUAACAUUCAUUAAUUUUACAGUAUUUCUGUAAAUAGUCUUUAAAUUUCUUCCAAUCUUCUUCCACCAACUCUUCUCCCUGGUCUCGGAUUCUGCCAGUCAUUUCCGCCAGUUCCAUAUAGUCCAUCACCUUCAUCUGCCAUUCUUCCAGGGUGGGUAGAUCUUGUGUCUUCCAAUACUUUGCAAUAAGUAUUCUUGCUGCUGUUGUAGCAUACAUAAAAAAGUUCUAUCCUUCUUGGCACCAAUUGGUCAACCAUGCCCAGGAGAAAGGCCUCUGGUUUCUUCAGGAAGGUAUAUUUAAAUACCUUUUUCAUUUCAUUAUAGAUCAUCUCCCAGAAAGCCUUAAUCCUUGGGCAUGUCCACCAAAGGUGAAAGAAUGUGCCUUCAGUUUCUUUACAUUUCCAACAUUUAUUAUCGGGCAAAUGAUAGAUUUUUGCAAGCUUGACUGGUGUCAUGUACCACCUGUAUAUCAUUUUCAUAAUAUUCUCUCUUAAGGCAUUACAUGCCGUAAACUUCAUACCUGUGGUCCAUAACUGUUCCCAGUCAGCCAUCAUUAUGUUAUGUCCAACAUCUUGUGCCCAUUUAAUCAUAGCAGAUUUCACCGUUUCAUCCUGAGUAUUCUAUUUCAACAGCAAGUUAUACAUCUUUGACAAAAUCUUGGUUUUGGGUUCUAACAGUUCUGUUUCCAAUUUUGAUUUUUCCACCUGGAAGCCAAUUUUCUUGUCCAUUAUUCUGAUAAUAAUGAAGCCAAUCUCGCACUUUAUUUUUUAGUUUUUCAAAACUCUGCAAUUUCAGUCCGUCUCCCUCUUGUUCCAAAAUUUCCCAAUAUUUCGGCCAUUUGGCCUCCAUAUUGAGCUUUUUCAAAGCUUUCGCUUCCAUCGGUGACAACCACCAAUACAAGUAGGUCCUUGUAUCUUAUCCAGACAUUAAACAAUGCUUUCCUGACAAUAUGAUUUUUAAAUGCUUUAUGUGCUUUGACCUUGUCAUACCACAAAUAUGCAUGCCAUCCAAAUACAUUAUUAAAACCUUCUAAAUCCAAAAUGUCUGUGUUUUCAAGAAGUAGCCACUCUUUCAGCCAGCAAAAAGCUGCUGAUUCAUAAUAAAGUUUAAGGUCUGGCAGGGCAAAUCCACCUCUUUCCUUUGUGUCCGUUAGUAUUUUAAAUUUUAUUCUAGGCUUCUUGCCCUGCCAGAAAAAUCUAGAAAUAUCUCUCUGCCACUUCUUGAAACAAUCCAUUUUGUCCAAAACUUGCAGUGUUUGUUUGUUUUUUUUAAAAAUAAUUUUUUAUUAAAAGUUUUAAACAAAGAAAACAGAAAAACAACACACACAAAAAAAUACAAAACUUAAGAAUGAAAACAUAAAACAUAACAAUUAAAAACAAACUCUCUUUUCCAUUUCCAAUUUUAAAUUACUUAUUUUCUGGACUUCCUCAUACCUCCCUCUUUUGUAUUCCGAUCCACAUUAUUUGUCCAGCAGUUUCUUUUCCACUUUUUUAUCCCAAUCUUUAAUUUAAUAAAAUGUUAAAAUAUAUAACUUCAACUUUUUUAAACCUAAUCCUUACUCUUAAUGUCAUAUAGCUUUAAAUUUUUCCCUUUUAUUAUCAAAUUUCCAUUUCUUUAGACAUCUUUAAUCUUAAUCUUUAAUCUUAAUCUAUCCUUAACUUUAACCUGUACAGCUGGAAACCACUUAUUUUCAAUCCAACAUCACUCUAACAUUCCUUAAUUUUGCAGUGUUUCUGAAGAUAGUCUUCAAAACUUGCAGUGUUUGAAACAAGAACAACAUUCUAGGCAAUACAUUCAUUUUUAUCGCAGCAAUACGGCCUAGCAGUGAAAGCUUCAAAUUUGACCAAAUUUCUAAAUCUUUUUUCACUUCAGUCCAGCAUUUUUCAUAAUUGUCUUUAAAUAAGUUCCCAUUUUUAGCUGUCAUGUUAAUCCCCAGGUAUUUCACUUUCUUAACCACUGUUAAACCUGUCUCAUUCUGAAACCUCUCUCUCUCAAUCGCUGUUAAAUUUUUCUCUAAAACCUUUGUUUUUAACUUAUUCAGUUUAAAUCCUGCAACCUGACCAAAUUCUUGAAUCAGUUCCAAAACUCUUCUGGUACUAGAUUCUGGCUCCUGUAAUGUCAGUACUAAGUCAUCUGCUAAUGCUCUCAAUUUGUACUGUUUAGCUCCGACUUGUAUACCUUUAACCAACUGGUCCCUUCUAAUCAUGUUCAACAGGACCUCCAGGACCGAUAUAAAGAGCAAUGGGGAGAUUGGGCAACCUUGUCGUGUCCCUUUUUCUAUCUUAAAUUCCUCCGUCACCACGUUGUUAACAAUUAAUUUAGCCUUUUGUUCUGAAUAACUUGCACUUAUACCGUUUCCAAAGCCUUGACCUACCCCCAUCCACUGUAGAUUCUUCUUCAUAAAAUUCCAAGAAAUGUUGUCAAAAGCUUUCUCCGCGUCCACAAAUAUCAAAACUGCCUUGGUAUUAAUAUUCACUUGUAAUUUUUCUAAAAUAUUGAUUAUGUUUCUCAUGUUAUCAGACAAGUGUCUACCCGGGAGAAAGCCUGCUUGGUCUUUAUGAAUCUCUUCCAUUAACACUUUUUUUAGUCUUUUAGCCAAAAUGUCUGCAAAGAUUUUAUAAUCCACAUUAAGCAGUGAUAUAGGGCGGUAGUUCUUAAGCUGCGUCUUUUCAGUCUCUGUUUUCGGUAUAAGUGUAAUAUACGCUUCUUUCCACGACUCUGGUGCCCUUUUCCCAUCCAUUAUUUCAUUACAGACUUCCUUUAAAGGUUGUACUAACCAUUCUCUUAAAGAUCUGUAGUAUCUAGAAGUCAGUCCAUCCGGUCCUGGAGAUUUACCUAAUUGCAUAUUCUGAAUGGCACCUUCUACCUCCUGUUCAGUUAUUUUAUAGUUCAGCAUUGAUUUAUUUUCUUGAGAGAUUUUUUGUAAUCCAUUUAUUUUCAAAAAUCGGUCUACAUCAAUUUCUUUCUGUGGCCCUUGUGUAUAUAAUUGUUUAAAAUACCUCUGGAAACAGUUUCUAAUCUCAACUAGGUUCUGUAUAUUCUUUCCUUCCACUUCUAAAUUUAUCUAGUGCUCUUAACUCUUCUCCAAAUUCUUUCUGCAGGUCUUCUCCGUGGUCUUUCAAAAAUCUUUCUUUGUCGUCCACUGAUCUUAUUUUUAUCUUUCUUCCUUUGAAGCUGAAAGAUAGGCCUUGGGGAGAUUCCCACCUAAAGAUGAUUCUGUUGCUUCUCAACAGGCCAACAAAAUCUCCAUAAUUGGACCUAAGGUCCAAAAGAUAUUUAGGAAUGUCUUUAAAUAUCUCCACUUUUGACUGAUGUAUUUCCAAAGUCUUCUGAAAGUGCAGACUCAAGAUUUUGUCUCUCUCCUCUUUUGUUCGGAGGGUGAUCAAACAGUCUCUCACCCUGUUCUUCUUCCCUCCUCUUCCAAGCCUGAAAGCACUCACUAUCUUAAAAUCUUCCUUCUUCAAAUCUGGGUCCCAAAAGUCUGCAAAUUCCUGCAUAAGAAAAUCAGUCAGAUUGUCUUUCUCAAGUUCAGGUACGGCCCUGAUCCUCAAAUUCGUUUGUUUCUCCUUCAAUUCAAUCAGUAUCGACCUGUGGUCUUCAAGCUGCCUGUGUAUAUCUUUUCUUCUACAGCAACUGCUAUUUCCUUUGCUUCUUCGGCUGUCUUUCGGGUCAAAGUAGAUUCCUGUAGCAGUUUCUCAAUAGUUUCUGUAUUAGUAUUUACCUUCUGUCCCAAAUUGUUGAUACUUGUAGUAUUUUGAUCAAUUUUGAUUGAUGCUUCAGCCACUUGUUUACUUAAUUUUUCCAGAGAUUCAUUAAUUUUACCUAAUGCCUGAGCUAAAACAUCUUCGGAUGCCAUUCCUUUAGGUUUAGGUUGUACAAAUGCAGCCCCUGAUGGUGCAGAGGGGCCAGAGGGGCAAGGUGUUGAUGCUCUUCACUGCAGCCCAGCGUCUGGGCGGAAAGAUCUACCAGACCUCGUUGUUUUUUCCUGCGGCAAAUCUGCCAUAACACUCUAGUUAAAGCCCAAGGUCAGUCCCACGGCCAUAAUUUGUUUUGAAGUGGAAAAUUCCCCUGGCCCAGUUGUUAUUGUAAUAGUUUCAAGCUUCCUCUAGGGGGACACAGUAGCAGUCAGAAGUUGUUGCCUUAAAAAAAAACCACCUUUUUAAAUCCCCCAAUUCACAAAAUAGACAACAGUUUCAAUUUCAGUUAUUUUCCAGUUACUUUAAAACCAGGAAAAGCUAGCCGGAAACAUUGUAUCUCCCUUGCAGAGUUAGCUGUCAAAAAGUACUCUAUUCACCAACAGCGCAUUUCACAGUACAGCAUUCUUAUUGUCCAUUGGCAUCCCGUUCCCAGGUUUUAAGCGGUGGAUUUUAGCUUCUUUCCUCUCUUUUUGCAGGGAAAUACAGUUCACACCUUUCCCCCUCCUCUCCUGCAGCCAAGGGGAGAUCACUUGUUUUGAUGUUAGAAUUGUAGUCCUUUUCAAGCGUCUUUCAAAGUUUUAGCUUACACGUUCGUUGCUUUACUCUAUUUACAAAGAACGGAAGGCAGACUUCCUGUUUAUGCCUCCCCGCUUCGGUAUCAAAUUACGUCUUUGUUCUCCUUAUUUUUUCAAAAUUAACCUACUCACGGGUAGUUGUUUUGUAGCCAAAUUGUCACAGCAUGACUAAGCCGCUUCUGGCGAACCAGAGCAGUGCACGGAAAUGCCGUUUACCUUCCCGCCAGAGCGGUAUCUACUUGCCUAUGUAUCUACUUGCACUUUGACAUGCUUUCGAACUGCUAGGUUGGCAGGAGCAGGGAAUGAGCAACGGGAGCUCACCCCGUCGUGGGGAUAUGAACUGCCGACCUUCUGAUCAGCACGUCCUAGGCUCUGUGGUUUAACCCACAGCGCCACCCGUGUCCCCUGCUGUUCUCUCAUAUGGUGUGCAAAUUCCAUAAUUUCAAGUUUAUUGCAAGUGAUCCUGUUUAUGUCCUACAUGCAUGGCACUGGACAGGUGAAAUAUUUCUUGGUUGUAUUGUGUCUUUUAUCCCUGUCAAAGGCUCUGUUUACAUUGAGGGGGCCUGCCCCUUGACUGAAAAGGACUUUCACCACAAUCUCAAGAUCUUGCCCGCAAAGGGGUUAUUUGUCAAUGGGCAUGCCCUGUGAUCGGGGGUGCCUGGGCAGUGUGAUGUCAGCAGGCCAUGCGUACAUGCCAUGGGUGUCCUGAAGUCACUUACACACACUGUGGGGUGUGUUGAGAUGUCAUGCAGACGCCCCAUGGCUUCCGCACGAGUCACAGCAUGCUGACAUGCCCGGGUCCCCUCAAUUACGAUGGCAAAGUGGGGUGAUGCUAGCAUGCCUUUGGUUUGCGCCACAAUGGUCGCCAUGAAAUGUUGAGGGAGCCCUGCCCCUUCCUUGAAAUUUUUCAUGGGUAGCCCCCACCCCCCAUUUAGCACCCCUGUCACUGGGUCAUAGUUUAUGGCUCAUAGCUUCUGGGUCCAAAAAGGUUCUCUUAAAGAGUGGGUGUGCCAUUGCCUCUAUCAUGCCACACACUUUACUCUGAGCUGCUCUGGGACUGCCCACACUCCCCUGCACCACAUUAUCAUUUUAUUAAAGAUACGUAGCCCUGACCUGGGUUUUCCUUGGGUGUUUUAAUAAAUAUCCCCUUUAUACCUGCUGCCCCCACAGAUCACUUUGAUCUGAAAACUUAAUCCCCCAUGUAGGCAAGAAGAGGCCUUAUCCUGAACCCAGGCAUAUUCUGAUGUAAGUCCUGAUAGUGCACACAGUGAGCGUCAGGGACUGGCUGGAUGAGGAAGAGUGGUGGCAGCCAGGAGGCACCUGAAGGCGAAGGGGACUUUGAACCAGGUCAGACUGAUGGGACAAAGAGGAAUCAUCAGCAGGGUGAAGGGGAGAGGCUUGAGGUAGCAGCAGGUACUGAAAGAGAAGGAGCAGGGGUUGUUUCUUCUGCUCUGCAAUACAGUCCUGAUUCAGCUCCUUCCCCUGCUCCACUCCCAGCGCUAGAUAAGAAGGGACGGGAAAAGGCUAGAACAAUUAAGAAAGCUGAGUCACAGUGAAAAAAAUGCAAGGACAGAGGUAUAAAUGAGUGGGAGAGAGGACAGAACUUUAGCUUCUGCAACUGACAAGGUUAUCUGACAGAUGUGCCAUGUGCUGACUCCUUGAUUAUUGAGCAAUAAAGGUUAUUACUGCAAUCGGUGUGCCUGGUUCUGUUUACAGUAUCAGAAAACAGACAGAGGGCCUUUUCUGCCAGCGCUCAAUGCGAAUGGACAUCAUACUUGCAAAAAACGACAAAACCACAUGUUAACACUGGCCAAGUUCUCAGUGAACUAUUUCUUCCUUCUUUUGUUAGUCAAGAUGCUGGACCUGACCACUUUUUCAUGCAAGGCAUUUUCUAUACUUUGGAGCAUUCCCUUCUCUGGAGCAUAAUGGAACACCAGCCUUUCCAUUUCCCCCCAUGGCCUGGCUAAUCCACUAUUAUUUUCACACCCAUUCAGAUCUUCCUGAAACCAGGUGCUCUGCCCAAUCUGCAAUGAAACAGAUAAGAUAUUUUCAAGGGGGAAAAACAUAUUUUGUUCAAUGCUUCUGCUGCACAUGGUGCCACAGACCAAGCAACCCCACUGGGGCUGUGUACCAUGUUAUUAUCUUAAAACAAAGCAAUUCAUUCUUUCUCAAGCAGUAUCCAUAUGGUAUUUUGAAGCCCAUAUGCCACAGAGAAACAGCAGAAUGCUUAUAAAAAACCACCCCAGUGCCAAUGACAGCUAUUCUACCAUUUAUUUAUAAACAUAGAUUAGAGCUGCUGGAGGGCAACAGGACAGAAGGUCUGGGUGAUGAUAAGUAUUUUAGACUGAAACAGGUACUUUAUUUUUAAGAGGAGAACCACCACAUCUCAAGAUGUUAAGUUUACCCUUCUGGACCCUACUCAUGCUGUUCCCUCUAUUUUUUAUACGUUCUGCUUUGCAUUGUGUGAUUGACCUCUUCCACGUCCAACACCAGUAUUAUCAGCCGGGGCACUUUGUUAUUGGUGGAAUCACUUCACAGUUCUUCUUACCAGUCUUCACUUCAAUAGACUUCAAGGAAAAGCCAAAGGAAACACCUGCUGAUGAAUAUGU